rnacentral:rRNA from 1 species
GUGGGGAAUCUUCCGCAAUGGGCGAAAGCCUGACGGAGCAACGCCGCGUGAGUGAAGAAGGUCUUCGGAUUGUAAAGCUCUGUUGUCGGGGACGAAUGUUGAGGCCUAGAACAUAGGUUUCAAAUGACGGUACCUGACGAGGAAGCCACGGCUAACUACGUGCCAGCAGCCGCGGUAAUACGUAGGUGGCGAGCGUUGUCCGGAAUUAUUGGGCGUAAAGGGAGCGCAGGCGGGAAGGUAAGUCUAUCUUAAAAGUGCGGGGCUCAACCCCGUGAGGGGAUAGAAACUAUCAUUCUUGAGUGCAGGAGAGGAAAGCGGAAUUCCUAGUGUAGCGGUGAAAUGCGUAGAUAUUAGGAGGAACACCAGUGGCGAAGGCGGCUUUCUGGACUGUAACUGACGCUGAGGCUCGAAAGCCAGGGGAGCGAACGGG